GAAACAUCUAAGUACCCGGAGGAAAGGAAAUCAAUUGAUACUCUGCUAGUAGCGGCGAGCGAACGCGGAUCAGCCAAGCCUUGAGAGUGAGAAGAACAUGUUGGGAAGCAUGGCCAUAGCGGGUGAUAGCCCCGUAUUCUAAGCUCGAUGGGAUGUAUUAAGUAGGGCGGAACACGUGAAAUUCUGUCUGAAGAUCGGAGGACCACCUUCGAAGGCUAAGUACUCCUUACUGACCGAUAGUGAACCAGUACC
rnacentral:rRNA from 12 species